AACCAGACUCCUACGGGAGGCAGCAGUGGGGAAUAUUGGGCAAUGGAGGAAACUCUGACCCAGCAACGCCGCGUGAAGGAUGAAGGUUUUCGGAUUGUAAACUUCUGUUGCGAGGGAUGAAGAAUGACGGUACCUCGUGAGGAAGCCCCGGCAAACUACGUGCCAGCAGCCGCGGUAAUACGUAGGGGGCAAGCGUUAUCCGGAUUUACUGGGUGUAAAGGGGGCGCAGACGGCAAUGCAAGCCAGGAGUGAAAGCCCGGGGCCCAACCCCGGGACUGCUCUUGGAACUGCAUGGCUGGAGUACAGGAGGGGCAGGCGGAAUUCCUAGUGUAGCGGUGAAAUGCGUAGAUAUUAGGAGGAACACCGGUGGCGAAGGCGGCCUGCUGGACUGUGACUGACGUUGAGGCCCGAAGGCGUGGGGAGCAAACAGGAUUAGAUACCCCUGUAU
rnacentral:rRNA from 1 species